GAUGAACGCUGGUGGCGUGCCUAAUACAUGCAAGUCGAGCGAACGGACGAGAAGCUUGCUUCUCUGAUGUUAGCGGCGGACGGGUGAGUAACACGUGGAUAACCUACCUAUAAGACUGGGAUAACUUCGGGAAACCGGAGCUAAUACCGGAUAAUAUUUUGAACCGCAUGGUUCAAAAGUGAAAGACGGUCUUGCUGUCACUUAUAGAUGGAUCCGCGCUGCAUUAGCUAGUUGGUAAGGUAACGGCUUACCAAGGCAACGAUGCAUAGCCGACCUGAGAGGGUGAUCGGCCACACUGGAACUGAGACACGGUCCAGACUCCUACGGGAGGCAGCAGUAGGGAAUCUUCCGCAAUGGGCGAAAGCCUGACGGAGCAACGCCGCGUGAGUGAUGAAGGUCUUCGGAUCGUAAAACUCUGUUAUUAGGGAAGAACAUAUGUGUAAGUAACUGUGCACAUCUUGACGGUACCUAAUCAGAAAGCCACGGCUAACUACGUGCCAGCAGCCGCGGUAAUACGUAGGUGGCAAGCGUUAUCCGGAAUUAUUGGGCGUAAAGCGCGCGUAGGCGGUUUUUUAAGUCUGAUGUGAAAGCCCACGGCUCAACCGUGGAGGGUCAUUGGAAACUGGAAAACUUGAGUGCAGAAGAGGAAAGUGGAAUUCCAUGUGUAGCGGUGAAAUGCGCAGAGAUAUGGAGGAACACCAGUGGCGAAGGCGACUUUCUGGUCUGUAACUGACGCUGAUGUGCGAAAGCGUGGGGAUCAAACAGGAUUAGAUACCCUGGUAGUCCACGCCGUAAACGAUGAGUGCUAAGUGUUAGGGGGUUUCCGCCCCUUAGUGCUGCAGCUAACGCAUUAAGCACUCCGCCUGGGGAGUACGACCGCAAGGUUGAAACUCAAAGGAAUUGACGGGGACCCGCACAAGCGGUGGAGCAUGUGGUUUAAUUCGAAGCAACGCGAAGAACCUUACCAAAUCUUGACAUCCUUUGACAACUCUAGAGAUAGAGCUUUCCCCUUCGGGGGACAAAGUGGCAGGUGGUGCAUGGUUGUCGUCAGCUCGUGUCGUGAGAUGUUGGGUUAGGUCCCGCAACGAGCGCAACCCUUAAGCUUAGUUGCCAUCAUUAAGUUGGGCACUCUAAGUUGACUGCCGGUGACAAACCGGAGGAAGGUGGGGAUGACGUCAAAUCAUCAUGCCCCUUAUGAUUUGGGCUACACACGUGCUACAAUGGACAAUACAAAGGGCAGCGAAACCGCGAGGUCAAGCAAAUCCCAUAAAGUUGUUCUCAGUUCGGAUUGUAGUCUGCAACUCGACUACAUGAAGCUGGAAUCGCUAGUAAUCGUAGAUCAGCAUGCUACGGUGAAUACGUUCCCGGGUCU
rnacentral:rRNA from 1 species